UACGUAGGGUGCAAGCGUUGUCCGGAAUUAUUGGGCGUAAAGAGCUCGUAGGCGGUCUGUCGCGUCUGGUGUGAAAAUCCAGGGCUUAACCCUGGACCUGCAUCGGGUACGGGCAGACUAGAGUGCGGUAGGGGAGAUCGGAAUUCCUGGUGUAGCGGUGAAAUGCGCAGAUAUCAGGAGGAACACCGGUGGCGAAGGCGGAUCUCUGGGCCGUAACUGACGCUGAGGAGCGAAAGCGUGGGGAGCGAA
rnacentral:rRNA from 1 species